rnacentral:rRNA from 1 species
UAAGGAAUAUUGGACAAUGGAGGGAACUCUGAUCCAGCCAUGCCGCGUGAAGGAUGAAGGCGCUCUGCGUUGUAAACUUCUUUUGGACGGGAACAAAUACAGUCAUUUAUGAUUGCUUGAGGGUACCGUCAGAAUAAGCACCGGCUAACUCCGUGCCAGCAGCCGCGGUAAUACGGAGGGUGCAAGCGUUAUCCGGAAUCACUGGGUUUAAAGGGUGCGUAGGCGGUCUGAUAAGUCAGUCGUGAAAUCGCUGGGCUUAACCCAUGCAAUUGCGAUUGAUACUGUUAGACUUGAAUCAGGUUGAGGUAGGCGGAAUGUGACAUGUAGCGGUGAAAUGCUUAGAUAUGUCAUAGAACACCGAUUGCGAAGGCAGCUUGCUGGGCUUCGAUUGACGCUGAGGCACGAAAGCGUGGGGAGCAAACAGGAUUAGAUACCCCAGUAGUCCCUGAGCGGGCUGGCAAGGCGCAU